rnacentral:rRNA from 1 species
AUACGUAGGGAGCGAGCGUUAUCCGGAAUUAUUGGGUGUAAAGGGUGCGUAGACGGGAAGAUAAGUUAGUUGUGAAAUCCCUCGGCUUAACUGAGGAACUGCAACUAAAACUGUUUUUCUUGAGUGCAGGAGAGGUAAGUGGAAUUCCUAGUGUAGCGGUGAAAUGCGUAGAUAUUAGGAGGAACACCAGUGGCGAAGGCGACUUACUGGACUGUAACUGACGUUGAGGCACGAAAGUGUGGGGAGC